ACGGGUGAGUAACGCGUGGGAACAUACCCUUUUCUACGGAAUAGCUCUGGGAAACUGGAAUUAAUACCGUAUACGCCCUACGGGGGAAAGAUUUAUCGGGGAAGGAUUGGCCCGCGUUGGAUUAGCUAGUUGGUGGGGUAAAGGCCUACCAAGGCGACGAUCCAUAGCUGGUCUGAGAGGAUGAUCAGCCACAUUGGGACUGAGACACGGCCCAAACUCCUACGGGAGGCAGCAGUGGGGAAUAUUGGACAAUGGGCGCAAGCCUGAUCCAGCCAUGCCGCGUGAGUGAUGAAGGCCUUAGGGUUGUAAAGCUCUUUCACCGAUGAGGAUAAUGACGGUAGUCGGAGAAGAAGCCCCGGCUAACUUCGUGCCAGCAGCCGCGGUAAUACGAAGGGGGCUAGCGUUGUUCGGAAUUACUGGGCGUAAAGCGCACGUAGGCGGAUAUUUAAGUCAGGGGUGAAAUCCCAGAGCUCAACUCUGGAACUGCCUUUGAUACUGGGUAUCUUGAGUAUGGAAGAGGUAAGUGGAAUUGCGAGU
rnacentral:rRNA from 1 species